CCAAUAGCGUAUACUAAAGUUGUUGCAGUUAAAAAGCUCGUAGUUGAAUUUCGGAGUCAGCAGGCUGGUCGUGCCACGGGUAUGUACUGGUCUCACUGAUUCCUCCUUCCUGAUGAACCGUAAUGCCAUUAAUUUGGUGUUGCGGGGAAACUGGACUGUUACUUUGAAAAAAUUAGAGUGUUUAAAGCAGGCUAACGCUGGAAUACAUUAGCAUGGAAUAAUGAAAUAGGACGUUGAUCUUAUUUUGUUGGUUUCUAGGAUUGACGUAAUGAUUAAUAGGGAUAGUUGGGGGCAUUAGUAUUCAAUUGUCAGAGGUGAAAUUCUUGGAUUUAUUGAAGACUAACUACUGCGAAAGCAUUUGCCAAGGAUGUUUUCAUUAAUCAAGAACGAAAGUUAGGGGAUCGAAGACGAUCAGAUACCGUCGUAGUCUUAACCAUAAACUAUGCCGACUAGGGAUCGGAUGAUGUUAAUUUUUUAAUGACUCAUUCGGCGCCUUACG
rnacentral:rRNA from 1 species